rnacentral:rRNA from 1 species
CAGUCGCCACGGGAAUACAGAGGGUGCAAGCGUUAAUCGGAAUUACUGGGCGUAAAGCGCGCGUAGGUGGUUCGCCAAGUUGGAUGUGAAAUCCCCGGGCUCAACCUGGGAACUGCAUCCAAAACUGGCGAGCUAGAGUAUGGUAGAGGGUGGUGGAAUUUCCUGUGUAGCGGUGAAAUGCGUAGAUAUAGGAAGGAACAUCAGUGGCGAAGGCGACCACCUGGACUGAUACUGACACUGAGGUGCGAAAGCGUGGGGAGCAAACAGGAUUAGAUACCCCAGUAGUCCCUGUCUCUUAUAC